AUUGAACGCUGGCGGCAUGCCUUACACAUGCAAGUCGAACGGUAACGGGCCUUCGGGUGCCGACGAGUGGCGAACGGGUGAGUAAUGUAUCGGAACGUACCUUUCAGUGGGGGAUAACGUAGCGAAAGUUACGCUAAUACCGCAUAUUCUGUGCGCAGGAAAGCAGGGGAUCGCAAGACCUUGCGCUGAUUGAGCGGCCGAUAUCAGAUUAGCUAGUUGGUGAGGUAAAGGCUCACCAAGGCGACGAUCUGUAGCGGGUCUGAGAGGAUGAUCCGCCACACUGGAACUGAGACACGGUCCAGACUCCUACGGGAGGCAGCAGUGGGGAAUUUUGGACAAUGGGGGCAACCCUGAUCCAGCCAUGCCGCGUGAGUGAAGAAGGCCUUCGGGUUGUAAAGCUCUUUCGGCCGGGAAGAAAUCGUAUCAGCUAAUACCUGGUGCGGAUGACGGUACCGGCAUAAGAAGCACCGGCUAACUACGUGCCAGCAGCCGCAGUAACAC
rnacentral:rRNA from 1 species